rnacentral:lncRNA from 1 species
UCAAGAGUCAAGGUCAGAAUAAUACAUUACUCCUAAUUAAUCAUGUAAGACUUGCCGAAAAAAAAAGACUGUCAUGUUGACUCGACGAUUACGGAACACAUAUAAUCCAUACUACUACAGUAUUUAGGCUUAACUUAGCUUUGAUAACUGAAAUAAUUAAUUAACCUCACUCAAACAUCAUUAACAACCUUGAGCAAUUUUACAGCACUUGAGAAGCUACCAUUAGAUACGAAAACACAGUACCAAAUUUUACACUGAAAUUUUGGUAACUCUGAGCACAUACUCAACGACUAUAAAAUUGCUCAACAACUAAUUAAUCAAAUCCAUACCAAUCCGGCUAACUAAUUAAUGACACAGUAUAUUCACAACAACAAAAUAAUUAACCAUCCAUGCAUCAUACAUAUAUACUCCAUAUGCACUAAUUGAUCGAUCUUAGCUAAUUAACGCUGCUGCUGCUGCUUCUUCCUCGCCGCCGCCGCCGCCUCCGCCGCCAGCCGCCGUCUCACCCUGUCGAUGUACUUCCCGGCGGCCUCGUCGAUGCUAGGCGUCUGCACGGCGUUCACCACCGUCGCCGUCGUCGUCUGGAUCUUCUCCACCCUGUGGACGCUGAUCUCCGCCGCGCUCGGCAUAGUACUGUUCGUCGUCGCCCUAGCUGUUCGCUCGAUCGAUCGAGAGGAUGAACACACGUACAAAUUAAGGAUGCUGAAAAGCUACCAGCUGCUGAUCGAUGGCUCUGAAUCUGAUGAUGUGUGCUCA